GGUUAAGCGACUAAGCGUACACGGUGGAUGCCUUGGCAGUCAGAGGCGAUGAAGGACGUGCUAAUCUGCGAUAAGCGUCGGUAAGGUGAUAUGAACCGUUAUAACCGGCGAUUUCCGAAUGGGGAAACCCAGUGUGAUUCGUCACACUAUCAUUAACUGAAUCCAUAGGUUAAUGAGGCGAACCGGGGGAACUGAAACAUCUAAGUACCCCGAGGAAAAGAAAUCAACCGAGAUUCCCCCAGUAGCGGCGAGCGAACGGGGAGCAGCCCAGAGCCUGAAUCAGUGUGUGUGUUAGUGGAAGCGUCUGGAAAGGCGUGCGAUACAGGGUGACAGCCCCGUACACAAAAAUGCACAUACUGUGAGCUCGAUGAGUAGGGCGGGACACGUGGUAUCCUGUCUGAAUAUGGGGGGACCAUCCUCCAAGGCUAAAUACUCCUGACUGACCGAUAGUGAACCAGUACCGUGAGGGAAAGGCGAAAAGAACCCCGGCGAGGGGAGUGAAAAAGAACCUGAAACCGUGUACGUACAAGCAGUGGGAGCACGCUUAGGCGUGUGACUGCGUACCUUUUGUAUAAUGGGUCAGCGACUUAUAUUCUGUAGCAAGGUUAACCGAAUAGGGGAGCCGAAGGGAAACCGAGUCUUAACUGGGCGUUAAGUUGCAGGGUAUAGACCCGAAACCCGGUGAUCUAGCCAUGGGCAGGUUGAAGGUUGGGUAACACUAACUGGAGGACCGAACCGACUAAUGUUGAAAAAUUAGCGGAUGACUUGUGGCUGGGGGUGAAAGGCCAAUCAAACCGGGAGAUAGCUGGUUCUCCCCGAAAGCUAUUUAGGUAGCGCCUCGUGAAUUCAUCUCCGGGGGUAGAGCACUGUUUCGGCAAGGGGGUCAUCCCGACUUACCAACCCGAUGCAAACUGCGAAUACCGGAGAAUGUUAUCACGGGAGACACACGGCGGGUGCUAACGUCCGUCGUGAAGAGGGAAACAACCCAGACCGCCAGCUAAGGUCCCAAAGUCAUGGUUAAGUGGGAAACGAUGUGGGAAGGCCCAGACAGCCAGGAUGUUGGCUUAGAAGCAGCCAUCAUUUAAAGAAAGCGUAAUAGCUCACUGGUCGAGUCGGCCUGCGCGGAAGAUGUAACGGGGCUAAACCAUGCACCGAAGCUGCGGCAGCGACGCUUAUGCGUUGUUGGGUAGGGGAGCGUUCUGUAAGCCUGUGAAGGUGUGCUGUGAGGUAUGCUGGAGGUAUCAGAAGUGCGAAUGCUGACAUAAGUAACGAUAAAGCGGGUGAAAAGCCCGCUCGCCGGAAGACCAAGGGUUCCUGUCCAACGUUAAUCGGGGCAGGGUGAGUCGACCCCUAAGGCGAGGCCGAAAGGCGUAGUCGAUGGGAAACAGGUUAAUAUUCCUGUACUUGGUGUUACUGCGAAGGGGGGACGGAGAAGGCUAUGUUGGCCGGGCGACGGUUGUCCCGGUUUAAGCGUGUAGGCUGGUUUUCCAGGCAAAUCCGGAAAAUCAAGGCCGAGGCGUGAUGACGAGGCACUACGGUGCUGAAGCAACAAAUGCCCUGCUUCCAGGAAAAGCCUCUAAGCAUCAGGUAACAUCAAAUCGUACCCCAAACCAACACAGGUGGUCAGGUAGAGAAUACCAAGGCGCUUGAGAGAACUCGGGUGAAGGAACUAGGCAAAAUGGUGCCGUAACUUCGGGAGAAGGCACGCUGAUACGUAGGUGAAGCGACUUGCUCGUGGAGCUGAAAUCAGUCGAAGAUACCAGCUGGCUGCAACUGUUUAUUAAAAACACAGCACUGUGCAAACACGAAAGUGGACGUAUACGGUGUGACGCCUGCCCGGUGCCGGAAGGUUAAUUGAUGGGGUUAGCGCAAGCGAAGCUCUUGAUCGAAGCCCCGGUAAACGGCGGCCGUAACUAUAACGGUCCUAAGGUAGCGAAAUUCCUUGUCGGGUAAGUUCCGACCUGCACGAAUGGCGUAAUGAUGGCCAGGCUGUCUCCACCCGAGACUCAGUGAAAUUGAACUCGCUGUGAAGAUGCAGUGUACCCGCGGCAAGACGGAAAGACCCCGUGAACCUUUACUAUAGCUUGACACUGAACAUUGAGCCUUGAUGUGUAGGAUAGGUGGGAGGCUUUGAAGUGUGGACGCCAGUCUGCAUGGAGCCGACCUUGAAAUACCACCCUUUAAUGUUUGAUGUUCUAACGUGGACCCGUAAUCCGGGUUGCGGACAGUGUCUGGUGGGUAGUUUGACUGGGGCGGUCUCCUCCUAAAGAGUAACGGAGGAGCACGAAGGUUGGCUAAUCCUGGUCGGACAUCAGGAGGUUAGUGCAAUGGCAUAAGCCAGCUUGACUGCGAGCGUGACGGCGCGAGCAGGUGCGAAAGCAGGUCAUAGUGAUCCGGUGGUUCUGAAUGGAAGGGCCAUCGCUCAACGGAUAAAAGGUACUCCGGGGAUAACAGGCUGAUACCGCCCAAGAGUUCAUAUCGACGGCGGUGUUUGGCACCUCGAUGUCGGCUCAUCACAUCCUGGGGCUGAAGUAGGUCCCAAGGGUAUGGCUGUUCGCCAUUUAAAGUGGUACGCGAGCUGGGUUUAGAACGUCGUGAGACAGUUCGGUCCCUAUCUGCCGUGGGCGCUGGAGAACUGAGGGGGGCUGCUCCUAGUACGAGAGGACCGGAGUGGACGCAUCACUGGUGUUCGGGUUGUCAUGCCAAUGGCACUGCCCGGUAGCUAAAUGCGGAAGAGAUAAGUGCUGAAAGCAUCUAAGCACGAAACUUGCCCCGAGAUGAGUUCUCCCUGACCCUUUAAGGGUCCUGAAGGAACGUUGAAGACGACGACGUUGAUAGGCCGGGUGUGUAAGCGCAGCGAUGCGUUGAGCUAACCGGUACUAAUGAACCGUGAGGCUUAACCUU
rnacentral:rRNA from 1 species